rnacentral:lncRNA from 1 species
CACAUCAGAGUCCAGGCACUUUAAAUGCUCUGUAUAGAGUCAUGGUUGUGUCGCUGUUACUACAAUUACUAGUCAUCUCAGUGUUAUUGUGCUGUUUUGUCUGGGAGAGGUCUCCAUGGCGCAGGCGGCUCUUGUGCGGGAUGGUCAUUCAAAAGCUUUUCUUUUUUUUUCUCGUUGGUAUGGAUCUUUAUUGCCUCGGCCAGUGUUGCAUGUUUUUCUUUUCUUAUGGUUCUUGUCGCUUCGGCUUCAAGUCGAUUCAUUUGUGUAUUGUUCUCGUGGGCGGAUACUGCUAGGGCUGUGUUCGUUUUCCUUUGGUGACAUCCCUUUUAUGUUCACUUAAUCUUUGGUCAAGUGUCCUUGUCGUUACUCCUAUGUGCGUCUUGUUCUUGUGUGUUUUAUUAUUUCUAACCAGUAUUUUAUAUACCCCAGUUUUUUGCUUGUUCUCUUUUCUAUCUUUCUCGUUUCUGAGCUGACUGAACAGCAUUGGAUGUC